UUUACUUGACCAGAAAGUUGAAGAAGGGGUGUGGUCAGAGACUAUGUAAAGCAGAUAGAAUGAAGCAGCAGAACGGCAGUUCAUUCUGACGACUUACAAUCACUUUGUGGAAUAUCCGUGAUAUAAAUCUAAUUAUUCUAACUUUUAAUUUCAACGUUAUUUCAAAGUGCGGAAAAGUUUUCUUCGAAAAAGUAAUCAGGAAGAACUCAAAUCUUCACGGAUUUUAAAUUUAAUCAAUCUUGGAAUUAUUUUUUCUCAUCUAGAUCAUAAAGAUCUUAUGUGUCCAUGAGGUGCAAAGUUCUAGAUUGUCAAGGCAAUUCUCCGACAUUUUUACCAAGUGUCAGAUUAGCUAAAAAUCUUCGGACUCGUAAAGGAAGUCGUCGUGGUAAUGCUGCAAACCGAUUAGAGUUAUUAGUACUCGUUCAUUUACACCACGUGCCGUAGACAACUUAAAAGACAAGAAAAGUUCUGGUAAUCACCUUUACGUUCAAUAAUUAUUAUUUGAUAAUUAAUUAAGAAUAAACUCAAGAGAUUUCAUCGAAUCAUUGUUUAUUGCACCGAAGCUUAUCAGUUCCUAGCUGAUAAACCAAAGUACAAAUUCAAAAGCAUCGAAUUUUGAAUCUGAAUUAAUUUUUUGAGUUGGAAAAGGAUUUUAAACGAUACAAAUAUGGUGUUCACUAAUUUGGACGAGUCAGAAAUCACGGGCCCUUAUCAACAAAUCAAGAAAGAUAAAAUGACUUCAACGUCAAACGAAUUUCAGAAACAAACUCAACAUCAGCAAAGUAACAAAAAUGAUCAAAAGUAUGGUGUUUGGGGACCAGUUUACAAAAAUAAGGAAAAUUUCGUAAACAUGCACAUUUGUUAAUUUUUUCUAACACCAUGUAACAUUUAAAAUCAAGCACAUAUAUAUUUAAAUAUGUGUAUCCAAUUUUUUCUAAAUUUGUGUUUUUUUUUUUAAAUCUUAUUUCAUUUUAAUGGUACAAAAUGAAUGAUCAAUCAAUUCAAAUUCGAAAUUUUCAAUAUUUUGGAAUUAUAAAUCAUACUUAUCGCUAGAAUAACAUAAUGGCAUUACUUCAUAUAAAAAAAUAUAUUUUUGUUUCUAAACACAAAAUCAGAAUUAAUAAAGAAUUGAUAUAUUUUUUAAAU